UGCUAAUACCGAAUAAAACUUAGUAUCGCAUGAUACAAAGUUGAAAGGCGCUACGGCGUCACCUAGAGAUGGGUCCGCGGUGCAUUAGUUAGUUGGUGGGGUAAAGGCCUACCAAGACAAUGAUGCAUAGCCGAGUUGAGAGACUGAUCGGCCACAUUGGGACUGAGACACGGCCCAAACUCCUACGGGAGGCUGCAGUAGGGAAUCUUCCACAAUGGGCGAAAGCCUGAUGGAGCAACGCCGCGUGUGUGAUGAAGGCUUUAGGGUCGUAAAGCACUGUUGUAUGGGAAGAAAUGCUAGAAUAGGGAAUGAUUCUAGUUCGACGGUACCAUACCAGAAAGGGACGGCUAAAUACGUGCCAGCAGCCGCGGUAAUACGUAUGUCCCGAGCGUUAUCCGGAUUUAUUGGGCGUAAAGCGAGCGCAGACGGUUGAUUAAGUCUGAUGUGAAAGCCCGGAGCUCAACUCCGGAAUGGCAUUGGAAACUGGUUA
rnacentral:rRNA from 1 species